GAUGAACGCUGGCGGCGUGCCUAAUACAUGCCAGUCGAGCGAACAGACGAGGAGCUUGCUCCUCUGACGUUAGCGGCGGACGGGUGAGUAACACGUGGAUAACCUACCUAUAAGACUGGGAUAACUUCGGGAAACCGGAGCUAAUACCGGAUAAUAUAUUGAACCGCAUGGUUCAAUAGUGAAAGACGGUUUUGCUGUCACUUAUAGAUGGAUCCGCGCCGCAUUAGCUAGUUGGUAAGGUAACGGCUUACCAAGGCAACGAUGCGUAGCCGACCUGAGAGGGUGAUCGGCCACACUGGUACUGAGACACGGUCCAGACUCCUACGGGAGGCAGCAGUAGGGAAUCUUCCGCAAUGGGCGAAAGCCUGACGGAGCAACGCCGCGUGAGUGAUGAAGGUCUUCGGAUCGUAAAACUCUGUUAUUAGGGAAGAACAAAUGUGUAAGUAACUAUGCACGUCUUGACGGUACCUAAUCAGAAAGCCACGGCUAACUACGUG
rnacentral:rRNA from 1 species